rnacentral:rRNA from 1 species
GACAGAGGGGGCAAGCGUUGCUCGGAAUCACUGGGCGUAAGGGCGCGUAGGCGGUCCCGUCAGUCCCUUGUGAAAUCCCCCGGCUCAACUGGGGAACUGCAAGGGAUACAGCGGGGCUUGAGUUCGGGAGAGGGAAGCGGAAUUCCGGGUGUAGCGGUGAAAUGCGUAGAUAUCCGGAGGAACACCGGUGGCGAAGGCGGCUUCCUGGACCGAUACUGACGCUGAGGCGCGAAAGCUAGGGGAGCAAACGGG